rnacentral:rRNA from 1 species
CAGUCGCCGCGGUAAUACGAGGGGGGCAAGCGUUGUUCGGAAUUAUUGGGCGUAAAGGGUGCGUAGGCGGUUUGGUAAGUCUUGUGUGAAAUCUUCGGGCUCAACCCGAAGCCUGCACGAGAAACUGCCGGGCUUGAGUAUGGGAGAGGUGAGUGGAAUUUCCGGUGUAGCGGUGAAAUGCGUAGAUAUCGGAAGGAACACCUGUGGCGAAGGCGGCUCACUGGACCAUUACUGACGCUGAUGCACGAAAGCUAGGGGAGCAAACAGGAUUAGAUACCCCCGUAGUCCCUGUCUCUUAUAC